rnacentral:tRNA from 1 species
UAAGUUUUUGGUGUGCGAAGACCUUCGUUCAAAGGGUUGACCCAGGCGUGACAAUUGUAAAACUUAU